GCCUGGUUGGCUCAGUCGGUUACAGCGCCCGACUCGGUUUCAGCUCAGGUCAUGAUCUCAGGGUCAUGGGAUCAAAUCCCAUGUCGGGCU
rnacentral:tRNA from 1 species